rnacentral:rRNA from 1 species
UACGAAGGGGGCUAGCGUUGCUCGGAAUCACUGGCGUAAAGGGUGCGUAGGCGGGGCUUUAAGGGAGGGGGGAAAUCCUGGAGCUCAACUCCAGAACUGCCUUUGAUACUGAGAAGCUUGAGUCCGGGAGAGGUGAGUGGAACUGCGAGUGUAGAGGUGAAAUUCGUAGAUAUUCGCAAGAACACCAGUGGCGAAGGCGGCUCACUGGCCCGGUACUGACGCUGAGGUGCGAAAGCGUGGGGAGCAAACAGG